AUUGAACGCUGGCGGCAGGCCUAACACAUGCAAGUCGAACGGUAACAGGAAGAAGCUUGCUUCUUUGCUGACGAGUGGCGGACGGGUGAGUAAUGUCUGGGAAACUGCCUGAUGGAGGGGGAUAACUACUGGAAACGGUAGCUAAUACCGCAUAACGUCGCAAGACCAAAGAGGGGGACCUUCGGGCCUCUUGCCAUCGGAUGUGCCCAGAUGGGAUUAGCUAGUAGGUGGGGUAACGGCUCACCUAGGCGACGAUCCCUAGCUGGUCUGAGAGGAUGACCAGCCACACUGGAACUGAGACACGGUCCAGACUCCUACGGGAGGCAGCAGUGGGGAAUAUUGCACAAUGGGCGCAAGCCUGAUGCAGCCAUGCCGCGUGUAUAAAGAAGGCCUUCGGGUUGUAAAGUACUUUCAGCGGGGAGGAAGGGAGUAAAGUUAAUACCUUUGCUCAUUGACGUUACCCGCAGAAGAAGCACCGGCUAACUCCGUG
rnacentral:rRNA from 1 species